GGAGAGGUCGCAUAGUGGCCUAGUGCGCCUCACUGCUAACGAGGUUACCCGCAAGGGUUCGAGGGUUCGAAUCCCUCCCUCUCCGCCA
rnacentral:tRNA from 1 species